rnacentral:rRNA from 1 species
GACGAACGCUGGCGGCGUGCUUAACACAUGCAAGUCGAACGGAAAGGCCCUGCUUUUGUGGGGUGCUCGAGUGGCGAACGGGUGAGUAACACGUGAGUAACCUGCCCUUGACUUUGGGAUAACUUCAGGAAACUGGGGCUAAUACCGGAUAGGAGCUCCUGCCGCAUGGUGGGGGUUGGAAAGUUUAGGCGGUUGGGGAUGGACGCGGGGCUUAUCAGCUUGUUGGUGGGGUAGUGGCUUACCAAGGGUUUGACGGGUGGUCGGCCUGGGAGGGUGACCGGCCACCUGGGGACUGAGAUACGGCCCAGACUCCUACGGGAGGCAGCAGUGGGGAAUAUUGCACAGUGGGCGGAAGCCUGAUGAAACAACGCCGCGUGCGGGAUGACGGCCUUCGGGUUGUAAACCGCUUUCGCCUGUGACGAAGCGUGAGUGACGGUAAUGGGUAAAGAAGCACCGGCUAACUACGUG